rnacentral:rRNA from 1 species
AUUGAACGAUGGCGGCAGGCCUAACAAAUGCAAGUCGAGCGAGCGGCGGACGGGUGAGUAAGGUAUGUGGGUCUGACCGAUUGAGGGGGAUAACUACUGGAAACGGUGGCUAAUCCCGCAUACUAUAGGAUGAAUCCAUAUGGGAUUAGCUAGUAGCUGGGGUAAAGGCUCACCUAGGCGACGACCGCUAGCUGGUCUGAGAGGAUGAUCAGCCAAACAGGGACUGCGACACGGCCCAGACUCCUACGGGAGGCAGCAGUGGGGAAUAUUGCACAAUGGGCGCAAGCCGACUGCAGCCAUGCCGCGUGUAUGAAGAAGGCCUUAGGGUUGUAAAGUACUUUCAGCGGGGAGGCGUUACCCGCAGAAGAAGCACCGGCUAACUCCGUGCCAGCAGCCGCGGUAAUAC